rnacentral:rRNA from 1 species
AGCUACGGCCAUAUAUACAGAAAAGUCCCGGAUCCCGUCCGAUCAGCUCAGCGAAGCCCGUGACAGCCCAAUCGGUACUAGGCUGAGAUCAGCUGGGAAUACUGGCUGCUGUAGUUU